rnacentral:rRNA from 1 species
AGCAUAUUAAUCAGCGGAGGAAAAGAAACUAACCAGGAUUCCCCUAGUAACUGCGAGUGAAGCGGGAUCAGCUC